UCAAAGGCCCUUUUCAGGGCCAAUCAUAUAUUUCAAAAAGAAUCU
rnacentral:ncRNA from 1 species